UGAGGAAUAUUGCACAAUGGGCGCAAGCCUGAUGCAGCAACGCCGCGUGCGGGACGACGGCCUUCGGGUUGUAAACCGCUUUUCUGAGGGACGAGCGAGGACGGUACCUUGGGAAUAAGUCUCGGCUAACUACGUGCCAGCAGCCGCGGUAAAACGUAGGAGGCGAGCGUUAUCCGGAUUUACUGGGCGUAAAGCGCGCGCAGGUGGCCGUGUAAAUUGGACGUGAAAGCUCCUGGCUUAACUGGGAGAGGUCGUUCGAUACUGCGGGGCUUGGGGUUGGGAGAGGGGUGUGGAAUUCCCGGUGUAGUGGUGGAAUGCGUAGAUAUCGGGAGGAACACCUGAGGCGAAGGCGGCACCCUGGCCCACACCUGACACUGAGGUGCGAAAGCGUGGGGAGUAAACAG
rnacentral:rRNA from 1 species